CAUUUUGUGCAUUUUCCUUCAACAGCAGCUGAAAAAACGCAAGAAAAACAAUUAUUUAUGACCGUGCCGCAUGGAUUUCCAGGAAUCAUUGGAGCGGUUGACUGUACCCAUGUUGCUAUAAUAUCUCCCCCAGUUGAAGAUCCUCAAUAUCCUGCCAUAGUGUUUUUGAAUAGAAAGGGAUAUUACAGCAUUAAUGUACAAAUAAUUUGUAAUGCACGUUUAAAAAUUCUGGCAAUCAAUGCAAGAUUCCCGGGAUCCGUUCAUGAUGCUGGCAUUUGGACAACAAGUAUUGUUAAGAACCUUUUGCAUACUUCUUAUGAGAAUGGAGAUUCAUCGUCAUGGUUGAUAGGAGAUGCUGGUUAUCCUUUAGAACCAUGGCUCAUG